UGGAGAGUUUGAUCCUGGCUCAGGACGAACGCUGGCGGCGUGCUUAACACAUGCAAGUCGAGCGGUAAGGCCCUUUGGGGUACACGAGCGGCGAACGGGUGAGUAACAC
rnacentral:rRNA from 1 species